rnacentral:rRNA from 1 species
UACGGAGGAUCCAAGCGUUAUCCGGAUUUAUUGGGUUUAAAGGGAGCGUAGGCGGCUUGUUAAGUCAGGGGUGAAAGACGGUGGCUCAACCAUCGCAGUGCCUUUGAUACUGACGAGCUUGAAUAUAGUUGAGGUAGGCGGAAUGUGACAAGUAGCGGUGAAAUGCAUAGAUAUGUCACAGAACACCGAUUGCGAAGGCAGCUUACUAAGCUAUGAUUGACGCUGAGGCUCGAAAGCGUGAGGAUCAAACAGG